AAUCCGUGUUGUGGGCACUUUCUUAGGAGCUCCUUGAACCUUUCCCACAUUAAAAAUAGAGACUCCAAUUCUGACUGUACAAAGGACUAGAUCUUAUUCCUAAGCUU